rnacentral:rRNA from 1 species
GAUGAACGCUGGCGGCGUGCCUAAUACAUGCAAGUCGAGCGAACAGACGAGGAGCUUGCUCCUCUGACGUUAGCGGCGGACGGGUGAGUAACACGUGGAUAACCUACCUAUAAGACUGGGAUAACUUCGGGAAACCGGAGCUAAUACCGGAUAACAUGUUGAACCGCAUGGUUCAACAGUGAAAGACGGUUUUGCUGUCACUUAUAGAUGGAUCCGCGCCGCAUUAGCUAGUUGGUAAGGUAACGGCUUACCAAGGCAACGAUGCGUAGCCGACCUGAGAGGGUGAUCGGACACACUGGAACUGAGACACGGUACAGACUCCUACGGGAGGCAGCAGUAGGGAAUCUUCCGCAAUGGGCGAAAGCCUGACGGAGCAACGCCGCGUGAGUGAAGAAGGUCUUCGGAUCGUAAAACUCUGUUAUUAGGGAAGAACAAAUGUGUAAGUAACUAUGCACGUCUUGACGGUACCUAAUCAGAAAGCCACGGCUAACUACGUG